GAUGAACGCUGGCGGCGUGCCUAAUACAUGCAAGUCGAGCGAAAACACGAGGAGCUUGCUCCUUUGACGUUAGCGGCGGACGGGUGGGUAACACGUGGAUAACAUACUUAUAAGACUGGGAUAACUUCGGGAAACCGGAGCUAAUACCGGCUAAUAUAUUGAACCGCAUGGUUCAAUAGUGAUAGACGGCUUUGCUGUCUCUUAUAGACGGUUUCGGGCCGGAUUAGCUAGUUGGUAAGGUAACGGCUUACCAAGGCAACGAUGCGUAGCCGACCUGAGAGGGUGAUCGGCCACACUGGAACUGAGACACGGUCCAGACUCCUACGGGAGGCAGCAGUAGGGAAUAUUCGGCAAUGGGCGAAAGCCUGAUGGAGCAACACCGCGUGGGUGAAGAAGGCCUUCGGGUUGUAAAGCCCUUUUGUUGGGAAAGAAAAGAAGCAGGUUAAUAUAUGGAUGUUUUGACGGUACCAAAAGAAAAAGCACCGGCUAACUUCGUG
rnacentral:rRNA from 1 species